UGAACCUUUGUGGAUCAGUAACAGGAGGAU
rnacentral:piRNA from 1 species